UCAAGUGAAGCGCAUACGGUGGAUGCCUUGGCAGUCAGAGGCGAUGAAAGACGUGGUAGCCUGCGAAAAGCUUCGGGGAGUCGGCAAACAGACUUUGAUCCGGAGAUCUCUGAAUGGGGGAACCCACCUAGGAUAACCUAGGUAUCUUGUACUGAAUCCAUAGGUGCAAGAGGCGAACCAGGGGAACUGAAACAUCUAAGUACCCUGAGGAAAAGAAAUCAACCGAGAUUCCCUUAGUAGUGGCGAGCGAACGGGGAUUAGCCCUUAAGCUUCAUUGAUUUUAGCGGAACGCUCUGGAAAGUGCGGCCAUAGUGGGUGAUAGCCCCGUACGCGAAAGGAUCUUUGAAGUGAAAUCGAGUAGGACGGAGCACGAGAAACUUUGUCUGAACAUGGGGGGACCAUCCUCCAAGGCUAAAUACUACUGACUGACCGAUAGUGAACCAGUACCGUGAGGGAAAGGCGAAAAGAACCCCGGAGAGGGGAGUGAAAUAGAACCUGAAACCGUAUGCGUACAAGCAGUGGGAGCCUACUUGUUAGGUGACUGCGUACCUUUUGUAUAAUGGGUCAGCGACUUAUAUUCAGUGGCAAGCUUAACCGUAUAGGGUAGGCGUAGCGAAAGCGAGUCUUAAUAGGGCGUUUAGUCGCUGGGUAUAGACCCGAAACCGGGCGAUCUAUCCAUGAGCAGGUUGAAGGUUAGGUAACACUGACUGGAGGACCGAACCCACUCCCGUUGAAAAGGUAGGGGAUGACUUGUGGAUCGGAGUGAAAGGCUAAUCAAGCUCGGAGAUAGCUGGUUCUCCUCGAAAGCUAUUUAGGUAGCGCCUCAUGUAUCACUCUGGGGGGUAGAGCACUGUUUCGGCUAGGGGGUCAUCCCGACUUACCAAACCGAUGCAAACUCCGAAUACCCAGAAGUGCCGAGCAUGGGAGACACACGGCGGGUGCUAACGUCCGUCGUGAAAAGGGAAACAACCCAGACCGCCAGCUAAGGUCCCAAAGUUGUGGUUAAGUGGUAAACGAUGUGGGAAGGCUUAGACAGCUAGGAGGUUGGCUUAGAAGCAGCCAUCCUUUAAAGAAAGCGUAAUAGCUCACUAGUCGAGUCGGCCUGCGCGGAAGAUGUAACGGGGCUCAAACCACACACCGAAGCUGCGGGUGUCACGUAAGUGACGCGGUAGAGGAGCGUUCUGUAAGCCUGUGAAGGUGAGUUGAGAAGCUUGCUGGAGGUAUCAGAAGUGCGAAUGCUGACAUGAGUAACGACAAUGGGUGUGAAAACACACGCCGAAAGACCAAGGGUUCCUGCGCAACGUUAAUCGACGCAGGGUUAGUCGGUUCCUAAGGCGAGGCUGAAAAGCGUAGUCGAUGGGAAACAGGUUAAUAUUCCUGUACUUCUGGUUACUGCGAUGGAGGGACGGAGAAGGCUAGGCCAGCUUGGCGUUGGUUGUCCAAGUUUAAGGUGGUAGGCUGAAAUCUUAGGUAAAUCCGGGGUUUCAAGGCCGAGAGCUGAUGACGAGUCGUCUUUUAGAUGACGAAGUGGUUGAUGCCAUGCUUCCAAGAAAAGCUUCUAAGCUUCAGGUAACCAGGAACUGUACUCAAACCGACACAGGUGGUCGGGUAGAGAAUACCAAGGCGCUUGAGAGAACUCGGGUGAAGGAACUAGGCAAAAUGGCACCGUAACUUCGGGAGAAGGUGCGCUGGCUAGGUGAAGGAUUUACCUGUAAGCUCUGGCUGGUCGAAGAUACCAGGCCGCUGCGACUGUUUAUUAAAACACAGCACUCUGCAAACACGAAAGUGGACGUAUAGGUGUGACGCCUGCCCGGUGCCGGAAGGUUAAUUGAUGGGGUUAGCGCAAGCGAAGCUCUUGAUCGAAGCCCGGUAAACGGCGGCCGUAACUAUAACGGUCCUAAGGUAGCGAAAUUCCUUGUCGGGUAAGUUCCGACCUGCACGAAUGGCGUAACGAUGGCGGCGCUGUCUCCACCCGAGACUCAGUGAAAUUGAAAUCGCUGUGAAGAUGCAGUGUAUCCGCGGCUAGACGGAAAGACCCCGUGAACCUUUACUGUAGCUUUGCACUGGACUUUGAGCCUGCUUGUGUAGGAUAGGUGGGAGGCUUUGAAGCGUGGACGCCAGUUCGCGUGGAGCCAUCCUUGAAAUACCACCCUGGCAUGCUUGAGGUUCUAACUCUGGUCCGUGAUCCGGAUCGAGGACAGUGUAUGGUGGGCAGUUUGACUGGGGCGGUCUCCUCCUAAAGAGUAACGGAGGAGUACGAAGGUGCGCUCAGACCGGUCGGAAAUCGGUCGCAGAGUAUAAAGGCAAAAGCGCGCUUGACUGCGAGACAGACACGUCGAGCAGGUACGAAAGUAGGUCUUAGUGAUCCGGUGGUUCUGUAUGGAAGGGCCAUCGCUCAACGGAUAAAAGGUACUCCGGGGAUAACAGGCUGAUACCGCCCAAGAGUUCAUAUCGACGGCGGUGUUUGGCACCUCGAUGUCGGCUCAUCACAUCCUGGGGCUGAAGCCGGUCCCAAGGGUAUGGCUGUUCGCCAUUUAAAGUGGUACGCGAGCUGGGUUUAGAACGUCGUGAGACAGUUCGGUCCCUAUCUGCCGUGGACGUUUGAGAUUUGAGAGGGGCUGCUCCUAGUACGAGAGGACCGGAGUGGACGAACCUCUGGUGUUCCGGUUGUCACGCCAGUGGCAUUGCCGGGUAGCUAUGUUCGGAAAAGAUAACCGCUGAAAGCAUCUAAGCGGGAAACUUGCCUCAAGAUGAGAUCUCACUGGGAACUUGAUUCCCCUGAAGGGCCGUCGAAGACUACGACGUUGAUAGGCUGGGUGUGUAAGCGUUGUGAGGCGUUGAGCUAACCAGUACUAAUUGCCCGUGAGGCUUGACCAU
rnacentral:rRNA from 1 species